GAUGAACGCUAGCGGCAGGCUUAACACAUGCAAGUCGAGGGGUAAUAUUGGUACUUGCACCAGAUGACGACCGGCGCACGGGUGCGUAACGCGUAUAGAACCUACCUUUUACAGGGGAAUAGCCUUUAGAAAUGAAGAUUAAUGCCCCAUAGUAUUGAGGAAUCGCAUGAUUACUUAAUUAAAGAUUUAUCGGUAAAAGAUGGCUAUGCGUCCUAUUAGUUAGUUGGUAAGGUAACGGCUUACCAAGACAUCGAUAGGUAGGGGUCCUGAGAGGGAGAUCCCCCACACUGGUUCUGAGACACGGACCAG
rnacentral:rRNA from 1 species